GGAGAGGUGGCCGAGUGGCUUAAGGCGCUCGCCUGCUAAGCGAGUUGGGGCUAGCGCCCCUCGCGGGUUCGAAUCCCGUCCUCUCCGCCA
rnacentral:tRNA from 1 species